rnacentral:lncRNA from 1 species
AUAUAUAAAUAAAGGUAUAUAUAUUAUAAUUAAUAAUUUUAUAAAUUAUAAUUUUUUUUAAUAUUAACACAAAAUAGAAAAUAAAUAUGUUUGUAUUUAAAAUAUAUAUUAAAAUAUUUUAAUAUAUAUAGUAGUAAUUAUAUUUCUUAUAAAUUAACACAAUAUAUAAACUAUAUAUAUUAAAAAAUAUUACAAAUUAAUUAAUAAUCAUAUUUUUAAAAUGGCUAAGGGAACAUUGUUGGUACAUUACAGUCUGGCUAUCAAAAGUCUCAAUGUCGAUCAAUUUCUGAAAUUUCUUUUGGUUCAUGAUUGUGCUUUUUUUAAUGGUCAGGAAAAUUCUAAAUACCCUGUACCAUCUGAUAAUGCAUGUGAAUAUACAGCUUGAACUUGAAACCCUUGGAAUAUAUCAAAUAAAAAUAAUAUAAAAACUAGCAUUAAAAGUCUUAAAGUGGGAGCUUCCUUUUCAUUGAUGCUCCUUUUUUCAUCCCAAUUCUGUUAAGUGUGGUACUUUUGGUUGAUACCUGCUCUUAUCCACCUUACGAUUCUCACAAAAACUUUUCUUUUUUCUUUUGGGGUGCCACUAAAAGUGCAAAGGUGACGAUUGUGUUCAUAAUUGGGCAGCAUUUCGGGCUGGGACAAAGAAUGAAAACAUUGAGUGGUGCAUAAAGCCGUUGGCUUGGGAUUUAGUGAUACUUAUUGUCAUAACGUGAGGGUCCGAGAAUCCAAUCACUAGACGUGAACGAAAAUAAAAUAUCUAGGAGUCGUCGUUAAUCUUUUUUUUAUUUAGGUGUGAUUGGCCACCUAUUAACCCUAUUAUAAUUAAUGAAGUUCUAAUUUAAUUUUAGAUCUAUUGACAGAACGAGAACUGAUCCACGUUUUUUAGAUAUAGGUUUAGGAGUGCGGUUACGCAUGGAGAAGGGUUAGCACCUUCGUGACGCCCGUUCCACAAACGAUACCAUUUAAUCUUAAGUUAUCAUAUUGAAGCCUACCUUGAUUUUAUUCCUGUGUUUCCUUAAUCCUUUUUAUUAAUUAAUUCUUUGUUAUGUUAUCUGCUUGAAUCUUUUAGUCGGUUUUACGGAUGCACAUGACGCAGUCAUAAAAUGAUGUUAUGAUUUGUCGAAUUUUAAAUGAUGAGGUCGGCAAUCUUUUAUUGAAAAAUCAUUCGUAGAUCAUCCCAGCGCUUUGGUGAAGUUUCGAAGUUUUUCUCACCUAGGGAUAUCCCGAGAAAGACUCGUCUCUGUGAGCUCUUCGAGAAAAUCCCAUCAUCGAAAUUUUAACCCCAACAGCAAGAUAUAUGUGGUAUGCUAUGACAGUAUAAAAAUGAUGAUAUCGACAUGACCAUGUUUAUUAAUUAGUUGGUUGGUAAUAAUAACAUGUUUAAUAAUUUAAGGUGAUUUAUUACCUUAUUUAUAUAUAUUUUUAUUAUUAUUAUUAUUAUUUAUGUAUAUUAUUUUAAACAACAAUUAUUUGGACUAAUGGGUAUCGGAGUAUAGAAUUCGAAUUUAUCCCGACGCUUCAAUGAAAAUUCAUCUCGAACUCCGUACCUAAGAAAUCCACUGGAAAGAGGCAAUUCUUUGCCCUUUUUAGGUGAAGUUCUAUCAUCGGAUCAACUCAAAUUAACCGCUUGAUUUUUUUUAUAUUUGUAAUUUAAUAUUAUAUUGUACAUUCUAUAUAUUUAUAAAUAGCUAGAUCAAUUUUGUAAUACUUUAUUCUCAUUUUUUAUUUCUUUUCAUUUUUUUAGACCCAUUUCUAUUAUUUAUUAAUUAUUUUAUACAUAUUUAAAAAAAACUAAGUACUUUCUAAUCUUCCAUUUAAUUAAUUAAUUUUUUUUACCUUGUUCAUUCACCUAUUUUUUGUUAUAUGUUCAUAUAUAUAUUUAUACAUGCAUAUCUAUUAAUUUACUACAUUUACUAUCUAUUGUAUUAAAUAUUUUCAUUUUUAGCUUUCAUAUGUUUUAUUUUUCAUGUGCAUAAAUUUCAAACAACACCAAAAAUAAUAAAACUAUUAUAACACUUAAACAAGAAAUUAAAUAACCAUUUUCAGUAGUUCAAGCCCAAACCAUUAUUUAAUGAAUAAAUCCAAUACCUAUUGGGUUGUAACUAACCCACUGCUUCAAAUGGGUUCAAGCUCCACUAGGCUUCAAAGGUCCCCUCCAAUUCGGUUUGGGCCCAAAGGGUCUGCUGCACUUGUUUUUUUUCUGAUUUGGGCUUGAAUAGUUCAAGAAUGCCUUAGCCCAAGGAGGAUAUCAAGCUUGCCGCAACAAGCCACUUAAUCCUCUUCAAUGUGCGUCGUUUUUGGCUUUCAAAAAUGCUUCAAACGACGUCGUUUUGAUCUCUUAUACCUGGGUAUAAAAGCUUCUUUUCUUUUCUCUCUCUUCACUUUCCUCUCUCACUUUCUCUCUCUUGCCACAAUUCUCUCAAUCUUCUCCUUAAGCUUUUCUUUUUUUUCUUUUCUUCUUCUCUCUUUUUUUUUUCUUUCUUUCUUGGCUCGCAGAUCUCCCUCCUCUCUCUUUCUCCCAGCUUCUUCCCCUCUCUUUUGCCGCCGGCGUCCCUUCUCCUCCACCGACCAGAUCUGGGUCUCCAAGACCUUUUUUUUUUUUUCUGCUUUCUCCUUUUUUACUUUUUGUGUUUUUUUGUUGUGAUUUUGGUUUUUUUAGUGCUUGUGGUUAGGUAUUUAAGCUGGUAGAUCUUAGGAUUUUUUUGUUUCUAAAAAUCUGUGUUGUUUUUUUUUUGUGUUCUUGAUUGUUGGAUUUUUUUUGAAGAAGAUGGAGUUUUUUUUUUUAAUCCGAUUUUUCUUUUCCAAAAAUCCCCCCUCAGCCUCAGAUUUUUCAAGGUUCUUUUAGAACCCAAUUGUCUAAAUCUUUGGACAAUCAUGAUCUUGGCAACACUAAUUCUGGAUGGGUAACCUUCAGGUCAAAAAAAAUUCACCAAAAAUGAAAUCAAAUCUCAGCUGCCAGAAGAGCAUUGAAUGCUCUGUAUUUUGUUGACAAUGAAGGCUAAGCGUGCUUCCAGCGUUUUUUUUUUAAUUUUGAUUUUUUAAUUUUUUAUUUAUUAUUAUUGUUUUUAUUUUAUUAAAAAGAAGUGUCUACACUUACACAGUAGGUGAGUUGACAACACUAAUAUGUAUACAAAGAAAUGUUGUUUUUUUGCUCGUGGUUCAUUUGGGUACAGAGAUGGUUCAGAACAGAUUGCUCUAUUUGACAGUUGUCUUUAUUCUUUUGGAGGGGGACAUGGAACAUGUGCAUGCAGUCACCAGCAACUAUUGAUCUACUAGAGAGAAGAAGUGAUCCUGCAAAUUUUUAGCUUAGGAGAUAAAUGUAUACAAAGAGUGCUAAUAAUCCGUACAGAUUGACCUAUUAGCCUGGCAAAUUUCUCUUUGUAAAUUAAUAUAAAGUUUUCAUAGGAUAAGAUGAUGAAAAUAAGGAUAAUAUGAUGAAAAUAAAAUAAUCUGAUACAAGUAUGUAAUCCAAAGAAGCCCCAGAAAGUGUCAACCUUUGGAUGCUAUCCAUAAAUGGAACAAAAAACUUAGAAAACAAUUCAACCUUGCCAUGAAUCUGUGAUCUGCAAACCCAUGUUAGCUUGAAGAUUCAUGGGAAAUAGACACGUUUCUUCUCCUCAAUUCGUUCAAUUUUGCAAUAUGCAUUGUCAAGUUCUUCUUAUGUCUGCUUGUCUACAACAUGUCCAGAUUUGAAGCUGAGUUCAGUGCAAUUGCAGACCCAGAGAUGAAUCUUUUUCCAUUUAUGGAGAUUAGGGAAUUCCAUUGGUGUAGAAAAGAUGCUAUGUUGUCAAUUGAGCUUGAUAAAUUAUGGCUAGACCGACAUAAAUCAAACUUUGGAGAAUGAUUACAAAUAGAUGAUCAUAUACCCUUUAAUUUUUCUAAAAAAAAUAUAAGGGCAAAUUAAAUAACACAAACUUAAUUAUUUCUUCAAUUUUAUGAAAAAAAAAAAGAAAUAUUGUUAUCAUAGAAAAAGCUAUGCUACCUAUUCUUUUAUGACUAAAAUUACUAUAACAAUUCGUAACCGAACUUCGAUAAUUGAUGCAUCUAUUUAUUAUUUAAAAAAAUAAAUUUGAAUUAUUUUAAAUAAUAAAAAAAUUAUAGAGACAUUUGAAUUUUCAUUUGUUGAACAUUUGAAUGAAAUUUCAAAUUAAAUAAAGUACAAUAACCAUUACUAUCGAAAUAAAUCAAAACUUGAUAGAUUCACGAGAUGUGAAACAAACAGAUACUUUAUUUAUAUAUAGAGCAUACAAAAUUACACACUUUAUUUACUUAUCAUACAAACUUAAUUUUACAUCACUUAGGAAGACAAACUCACAAAUACUAAUAUUAAUUUGGUACAAAACUAUUUUUAAUUUUUUAUUUUUCAAGAUUUUUUUUUCUAUUUUUAAUCUUAUCAUGAGAAACCUGCAAAUCUUGGAUACAUACCCUACGUCCACAUCCCGUAAAUAUAUAUACAUAGCUUGAGUUCUAGAUUAUUCAGGCUCCCACCUUCUAGGAGUUGAGAGUGAAAGCCAUCCACCUAAGGUUUUGCUUGCUGGGUCUGGUCUUUCGGGGGCUCUGCUGUCUUGUUCCUAGGUCCGACAAAUGCCUGGAUCAAGCAUGGAGGCUCAGGUUCCCUGUUUUUCAACUUAACCAACAGCUGGAUCAAGCACCGCAAAAUUAAAGGCGCAGCAGCUGUGAUCAAGGCGAGUUGAAAUUUGUCUUCAUCUCCGGUAACAGCAAAGAUUGCAGAUCCAUAAGUUAUAAUCAUUGAAACGCCAGCAACCCUUACUUCAAACUUGAAAGGAAAAUUAUGCGUGAGAGACAUAAUGACAAGUACCGCUGCAGAAAAGGCUAGGGUGUUGGAAGUCAAGAAAACGUAGUAGGCAUCUGAGUCAGAUGCACAGAUAGCAGUGCCUGCCGUAUGGUAAUCGUUGGUUUCCUGCCAUACACCGCCAGGGGGGUUAACCCCAGCUUGGAAGGUCACGGCAGCUAUAAGGGUCGCAACUACCAAGAGAGCGUUGCGGGCGUCGGCUCUAUUCUUAUCCCUGUCCUCCUCGUUUGCACCUUCCUUGUACUGAAAAUAACGACACCAGUCCUUGAAAGUAGUCCCAACCAUUGUUUUCUCUUGGGUUUUGAACUACAAACAGGAUUCAAGAAUUGAAGAAGCUUUUUGUUUAUGGGGAUAUGAAGAAAAACAAAGUAGUAGAUGGAUUUCUCCAGAAAAGCUUGGGGUUUGGCUGAGUCUUAAUUCAGCUUUUUAUAGUUCGCAACAGUAUCAAUCCCGUGACAAAUAUGAAGACAAUUCACUGUUCUUUUUCUAUAUUUGCAUGAUUAUGUUUGGACAAAAUGAGGAGUAGAUUCCUAUCUCAUCUUUGGACAUUGAUUAUGAUUACGUCUGUUAAUUAAUUAAUAAUUUAGUUUUCUUCAACCUUGUCAAUGUUGUUAAUUAGGACAAAAACCUGAUAGGCACUUCCACUUCCACUGCCAAGAUACGUCUGUAUGAUUUGUAUUUCUCAAUUUAAUGGCAUCAUCUUCCUUUUUGGUCAAUGUAGGGAAGAAGAUUACAUAAUCAUGCAUUUCUAGUUUAUAUAAGUAUAUAUUUAAUAUUUUAAUAAGUCUUAUUAUCUAAAAUUUCAGUAACACAGUAUUACUGAAUACCCAUAAAUAAAGGGUUAUUUACGAAAUACGUAUAAAAAUUCAAUAAUUAUAUGAUAUUUCGGUAAGUAAGUAUCUAAUCAUUAUUUUACGUAAUAAAGUAUCUAAUAUUUCAAUAAUUUUAUUUACUCAUGUUUUUCAUAUAAGUUAUUGAUAAAGCAUGUUCAUGGUGACUAAAUAAUAUAUGAAAAAUAAGAAAAAUAAUCAUUCAUUUCAAAGUUAGUAAAAAAUUAUUUGAGUUUAAAAUGUGUUUUUAUCAUCAUUUGUUCAAUUCUCGUUCGAAUAUAAGAUUCAAAAAUCGAAAAUAUUAGAAAAAAGUAAAUAUCAAUUAUAUAAUUAAUCAAAUAUAAAUUUUUUUAAUAAUAAUGAUAAUUUUAUUUAUAAUUGAAAAUAACAUGAUCAUAUAGUUAAUUUUACUGUCCUUAACAAAUCAGCUAUAGGCCCUUAUCAAUAUUACAAUUACAUUUUAACAUCAACAUCCAUUGCAAUCAAAAAUUCAAAUAUUUUUCGAUAACAGAAUACAGAAAAUUCCUACAAAGAAGAAUAACACUUACUUGAUUAAAAAUCAAAUAAACUUCAAGAUUUUAAAAAUAAAGAACAAGUUAUUAUAUAUGUUGGCAAGAUAACAAUUACCAGAGGAGUAAAAUUCUAAGGUACUGAAUCAAUUCAUGGUACAAAGAGGAGCCACAUUCUGAAUUCCAAGUCGAUUUCCGUUCGUCUCCAAUGCUUUCGCCUUGUAUCUGGACCAACUCUCCAUUUCUUGAACAACCGUAUGGUAAACCGUGCAAACUCCUCAAGAAAUCGAAUUCCCAUCACAGUGACCGUGUUACAUAGAUCACUUAUUUUCGUUGGACGUAUAUAGCUAAUAGCUACGACGUAAGUAGCAAUCAUUGAAAACAUGGCCAGCCGAAAGCCUGCCCUGGGAGGCAUGGGCGGACCCAUGUAUAUGUGUGUGGUGUCACAUGACACCACUCAAUUUAAAAGAAUAUUUAUUUAUUAUAUUAUUUUUUAGAGUUUAUAUAUUUAAUAAUACUAUAAACUUAUUAUUUUUUUAUAAUUUUGUAAAAAGUGUGUUCAAAAAGUAAAUUUUAUUAAAAAAUUUAUAUAUUAAUAAUAUUUAAAUAUUUUUUAAAAAAAUAUUUAAAUAUUAUCAAAAAGUAAAUUUAUCAAAAAAUAAUUUAUAUAUUAAUAUUUAAAUUCUACAUGAAAAAUUAAAAUAUUUUUUUUAUAAUUUAAAAUUUUAUUAAAAAAGUCAAAACCUAAACUACUCUCACUCUUCAAAAAUUUUAAUCUUAUUAUUGAGACUUACAGUGACUUUCUUCUUUUCUAUAAUUGAUUGUGUUUUUCAUUUUCUUAAAGUAACUCAACUAAAUUUUAAUUGUAAAAAAUUUUUAAACCAAGUUAAGUUUUUAAAUAUUUCAUGUUUAAAUAUUUGUUGAUUAAUUUGAUAGUUUGGAUUCAUAAUUAUAUUCUUGAAAUUAUUAGUCUUUUUUUUUAUUUUGUAGAUAUUAAUUAUUUGAUUUUUGUAUUUUACUUUAUGUGGUUUGUAGAUUAUUAUAUUUAGUUUUGAUUAAUAAAUAGAAAUUUGUUUUAUUAUUAGUUGUUGAACUUGAUAAUUUGCUACGUAAGAUUAUAUUUUGUUUAAUUCUAAUAUUUUAGUUUAUGGUAAUGAGUAGUAAUUUUUAACAAGGUUUUAUAAUUUUAAAUAAAUAAGCCAUGGAAAGAUAUUUUACAAGAAAAAAAAAAUUAUUUCACAAGAAUCAGAUCCCGAGCAACAACAACAAAAUUCUACUAACGAUUUUAGUCAACAAUCGUCUAAGUAAAGUUGUGUUGAAUUUGAUUUAAAUACUCUUCUGACAUAUCCUGAAUUGAGAAAUUUUUUUUUGAGUAUCAUGAUCAAAAUGAAAUUAGAAGAGCAUAUUUGCAGAAAGGGUCACUGAUACUAUCAUACCAUGUUUUCACAAUAUGAAAAAUUGUCAUGGAUAAUUAUAGGUUUUUAGAUAUUUUUAUUUUGAAGUAUUAAAUGAAUAUAUUGAAUUUACAUUUUUCUUAAUUUAAUGUUAAAAUUUUUAUUUUAUGAAUUUUAACAUAUUUAUUUUUUUACUUAGUAUUUUAAUUAUAACACCACUCAAGAAAAUUCUUGAGUCUGCCCCUGCUAAGAGGGAAUCCACUGGUGAGGAGAAAGGUCAUGGCAACUGAUGCAAUGAAACCAAUUGAAUUAAAACCGAUGAACACAGAAAAGAUUGGAGGGUUUUUACUCAUGACAGCCUCUCCGAGUGUCAUGGUUCUAGAUCUCUUCUGAACGACGUGGGUGCCGACGGUCGUAGAAUUUUUACUCUCUGCUAACCAAAAACCACUUGGUGGGCUCAGAAUUGCUUGGUAUGUGAUCGUUGCUAUCAGGACUGGCACAACCAUUAAUGAGUUUUUAGUUUCACUUGAUGAUUCCGUAACCUCUUUCAUCAGUUCCUUCCAUAGGUUCCAUGAACAACAAGAUCGCAAUAUUUGCUCGUUGUUAAGGCUUUCUGCUUUGGUUUGGAUAUGAGCAGGGCCUGUUGUGAUUUCUUGGGCUUUCACAGCUCCAGCUUGCUGAAACAUCUGAUAAAUAUGAAUAUCAUACAAAUCACCUCCACUUUGGAGCAGAAGAUCUAGGACAUCCUUCGGCGUAAAGCCGUUUGAGGUUAUGGCAUUUGCGUUAACCCUGGAAACCACUGCUUCUUGACCAAUUAACAGAGCUAUAAUCUGCAAAUGAUAUACAUCCAUAAUUUACAACUUCUGUAAAGGAUUCAAUGUGGAAUUAAACAUAACUUUUUAGAAAAUAUCGACAACGCAAUCAGUACAAUCUAUUCUUCCUUAGAAUUUAGGGUAGUCUAGGAAUUAAAGAGAAUUUAAUUAGAAUAACAGGCUUUGGACUCUAGCAUGAUCAAAACUAGGAUUUAGUCGCUCAUCUACUUCAACUUAUACGUGACAUCUUUCCGCAACCAGAACGCUGUAGAAGAAAUGUAGUUUGGUAUUUAUUACAUUUCCAAUUAAAUAAUGAUUUGCAUAAGUUUAUUGAUAAUUAAAGUUAAAUUUCAUUUGUCGAGAAAGUAAUGAAAGAUUUUUAAUUUUAACUUUGAUUUACAAGUUAAUAAAUAAUCAUAAUUUUAUUAAUUAAUUUAAUUAAUUAUAUAAAUUUAUCUUUAAUUAUAGGAAAUUGAAAAAAAAAAUAGGUUUCAAAUCUCACGAUUUCUUUUUAGAUUUAUAUAUUAUAUGUGUAUAUAAACAAUGGUAUAUAUAUAUUGUAAUUAAUAAUUUUAUAAAUUAUAAUUUUGUAAUGUUAACACAAAAUAAAAAAUAAAUAUGUUUACAUUUAAAGUACAUAUACAUAUAUAUACUAAAAGUAUUUUAAUAUAUACAAUAGUAAUUAUAUUCUUUAUAAAUGAACUUAAUAUAUAACGAAUAUAUAUUAAAAGACAUUAUAUGUCAAUUAAUAAUUAUUGUUUCAUGAAUUAAUUUAAUUAACUAUAUGGAUUUGUCCUUAAUUACAAAAAAUUAAAAAAAAAAAUAGGUUUCAAAACUAUUUUAAUUUCACAAUCUCUUUAGGUUUAUAUAUUAUAAGUAUAUAUAAAUAAAUGUAUAUAUAUAUAUAUUAUAAUUAAUAAUUUUAUAAAUUAUAAUUUUUUUAAUGUUAACAUAAAAUAGAAAGUAAAUAUGUUUAUAUUUAAAAUAUAUAUUAAAAUAUUUUAGUAUAUAUAUAAUAGUAAUUAUGUUUCUUAUAAAUUAACACAAUAUAUAAACUAUAUAUAUUAAAAGACAUUAGAAGUUAAUUAAUAAUCAUAGUUUUAUAAAUUAAUUUAAUUAACUAUAUGAAUUUGUCUUUAAUUUCAUGAAAUUAAAAAAAAUUAAAUUCCAAAACUAUUCUAAUCUCAAAAGCUCUCUUUAAUUAUAUAUAUUAUAAGUUUAUAUAAACAAUAGUAUAUAUAUUAUAAUUAAUAAUUUUAUAAGUUAUAAUUUUUAUAAUGUUAACACAAAAUAAAAAAUAAAUAUAUUUAUAUUAAAAGUAUAUAUAUAAUAGUAAUUAUAUUCCUUUAUAAUGUAAUAUAAUAUUCAUAUUAUUUGAAUAUAAUAAAUAAUGUAAUAAUUUUUUAAUUUAAAUCUAUUAAUGUCAUCACAUUAAUAAUUAGAGUAAUCAUACUUUGAUAUCUUUGUUAGUUUUUAACAAAAAGAAUUGCUUGUAAAAUUAGUAAAAUUGUAUAUUUUUAAUUAUAUUAUUAAAAUAAUAAAAAAUAUUUUAUAAAUGAUAAUCGAGUUUGGGUAAUGGAUGUUCAAUGAGUGGUACUUGAACUGUAUCCGAAUCCGAUACGGAUAGUAAAAUCAUUACCUGAAUCUGUCUCAAACACGAUUACAAGAUACUCCAAUUUUAUAUAACUGGAUCGAGUAUUCACAAGUAUCUUAUAAUAAGGUACCCAUUACUAUCUCUAACCAAAAUCAAAGUCUUGAUUUCAGUGCCUUAAAACAACUAAAACAACGGACUGAACUAAAUACAUAAGCUAAUAUCGCAUUACAAAAGAAAGAACAAUAAAAUAAACAAAAAGACAAACAAGGCUUUAAAAACAAGUUAAAUGCACGAACAUUGUUCGCUAUCAAAAUGGCUAAGCGAACAUUGUUCAUACAUUACAGUCUGGCUAUCAAAAGUCUCAUUGUCGAUCAAUUUCUGAAAUUUCUUUUAGUUGAUGAUUGUGCCUUUUUUAGUGGUCAGGAAAAUUCUAAAUACCCUGUAACAUCUGAUAAUGCAUGUGAAUAUACUGCUUGAACCUGAAACCCUUGGAAUAUAUCAGAUAAAAACAAUAUAAAAACUAGCAUUAAAAGUCUGACAGUGGGAGUUUCCUUUUCAUUGAUGCCCCUUUUUCCCCCCAAUUCUGUUAAAGGUGAUGCUUUUGGUUGAUACUUGCUCUUAUCCACCUUAAGAUUCUCACAGAAACUUUUCUUUUUUCUUUUGGUGUGCCACUAAAAGUGCAGAGGUGACGAUUGUGUUCAUAAUUGGGCAGCAUUUCGGGCUGGAACAAAGAAUGAAAACAUUGAGUGGUGCGUAGAGCCCCUAGCCUGGGAUUUAGUGAUACUUACAAAGUAGGUGAGUUGACAACACUAAUUUGUACACAAAGAAAUAUUGUUUUUUUGCUCGUGGUUCAUUUGGGUACAGAGAUGGGUCAAAACAGAUUGCUCUAUUUGACAGUUGUCUUUAUUCUUUUGGAGGGGGACAUGGAACAUGUGCAUGCAGUCACAAGCAACUACUGAUCUGCUGGAGAGAAUAAGUGAUCUUGCAAAUUUUUAGCUUAGGAGAUAGAUGUAUACAAAUAGUGCUAAUAAUCCGUACAGAUUGUCCUAUUAGCCUGUUAAAUUUCUCUCUGUAAAUUAAUAUAAAGUUUUCAUAGGAUAAGAUGAUGAAAAUAAGGAUAAUAUGAUGAAAAUAAAAUAAUCUGAUACAAGUAUGUAAUCCAAAGAAGCCCUAGAAAAUGUCAACCUUUGGAUGCUAUCCAUAAAUGGAACAAAAAACUUAGCAAACAAUUCAACCUUGCCAUGAAUCUGUGAUCUGCAAACCCAUGUUAGCUUGAAGAUUCAUGGGAAAUAAACGGGUUUCUUCUCCUCAAUUCGUUCAAUUUUGCAAUAUGCAUUGUCAAGUUCUUCUUAUGUUGCUUGUCUACAACAUGUCCAGAUUUGAAGCUGAGUUCAGUGCAAUUGCAGACCCAGAGAUGAAUCUUUUUCCAUUUAUGGAGAUUAGGGAAUUCCAUCGGUGUAGAAAAGAUGCUAUGUUGUCAAUUGAGCUUGAUAAAUUAUGGAUAGACCGACAUAAAUCAAACUUUGGAGAAUGAUUACAAAUAGAUGAUCAUAUACGCUUUAAUUUUUUUUCAAAAAAUAUAAGGACAAAUUAAAUAACACAAACUUAAUUAUUCCUUCAAUUUUAUGAAAAAAAAAAGAAUAUUGUUACCAUAGAAAAAGUUGUGCUACCUAUUCUUCUAUGACUAAAAUUACUAUGACAAUUCGUAACCGAACUUCAAUAAUUGAUGCAUCUAUUUUUUAUUUAAAAAAAUGAAUUCAAAUUUUUUUAGAUAAUAAAAAAAUUAUAGAGAUAUUUGAAUUUUUAUUUGUCCGAACAUUUGAAUGAAAUUUCAGAUUAAAUAAAAUACAAUAAUUAUUACUGUCGAAAUAAAUCAAAACUUGAUAGAUUCACGAGAUGUGAAACAAACAGGUACUUUAUUUAUAUAUGGAACAUACAAAAUUACACACUUUAUUUACUUAUUAUACAAACUUAAUUUUACAUCACUUAGGAAGACAAACUCACAAAUACUAGUAUUAAUUUGGUACAAAACUAUUUUCAAUUUUUUAUUUUUUCAAGAUUUUUUUUUCUAUUUUUAAUCUUAUCAUGAGAAACCGGCAAAUCUUGGAUACAUACCCUAUGUCCACAUCCCGUAAAUAUAUAUAUAGCUUGAGUUCUAGAUUAUUCAGGCUCCCACCUUCUAGGAGUUGAGAGUGAAAACCAUCCACCUAAGGGUUUGCUUGCUGCGUCUGGUCUUUCGGGGGCUCUGCUGUCUUGUUCCUAGGUCCGACAAAUGCCUGGAUCAAGCAUGGAGGUUCAGGUUUCCUGUUUUUCAACUUAACCAACAGCUGGAUCAAGCACCGCAAAAUUAAAGGCGCAGCAGCCGUGAUCAAGGCGAGUUGAAACGUUUCUCCAUCCGGGGUAACAGCAAAGAUUGCAGAUCCAUAAGUUAUAAUCAUUGAAACGCCAGCAACCCUUACUUCAAACUUGAAAGGAAAAUUAUGCGUGAGAGACAUAAUGACAAGUACCGCUGCAGAAAAGGCUAGGGUGUUGGAAGUCAAGAAAACGUAGUAGGCAUCUGAGUCAGAUGCACAGAUAGCAGUGCCUGCUAUAUGGUCAGCCUUGGUUUCCUGCCAUACACCGCCAGGGGGGUUAACCCCAGCUUGGAAGGUCACGGCAGCUAUAAGGGUCGCAACUACCAAGAGAGCGUUGCGGGCGUCGGCUCUAUUCUUAUCCCUGUCCUCCUCGUUUGCACCUUCCUUGUACUGAAAAUAACGACACCAGUCCUUGAAAGUAGUCCCAACCAUUGUUUUCUCUUGGGUUUUGAACUACAAACAGGAUUCAAGAAUUGAAGAAGCUUUCUGUUUAUGGGGAUAUGAAGAAAAACAAAGUAGUAGAUGGAUUUCUCCAGAAAAGCUUGGGGUUUGGCUGAGUCUUAAUUCAGCUUUUUAUAGUUCGCAACAGUAUCAAUCCCGUGACAAAUAUGAAGACAAUUCACUGUUCUUUUUCUAUAUUUGCAUGAUUAUGUUUGGACAAAAUGAGGAGUAGAUUCCUAUCUCAUCUUUGGACAUUGAUUAUGAUUACGUCUGUUAAUUAAUUAAUAAUUUAGUUUUCUUCAACCUUGUCAAUGUUGUUAAUUAGGACAAAAACCUGAUAGGCACUUCCACUUCCACUGCCAAGAUACGUCUGUAUGAUUUGUAUUUCUCAAUUUAAUGGCAUCAUCUUCCUUUUUGGUCAAUGUAGGGAAGAAGAUUACAUAAUCAUGCAUUUCUAGUUUAUAUAAGUAUAUAUUUGAUAUUUUAAUAAGUUUUACUAUCUAAAAUUUCAGUAACACAGUAUUACUGAAUACCCAUAAUUAAAAGGUUAUUUAAGAAAUACGUAUAAAAAUUAAAUAAUUAUAUGAUAUUUCGGUAAGUAAGUAUCUAAUCAUUAUUUUACGUAAUAAAGUAUUUAAUAUUUCAAUAAUUUUAUUUACUCAUGUUUUUCAUAUAAGUUAUUGAUAAAGCAUGUUCAUGGUGACUAAAUAAUAUAUGAAAAAUAAGAAAAAUAAUCAUUCAUUUCAAAGUUAGUAAAAAAAUAAAUAAAAGUUAGGAAAAAUAAUCAUAUUUUUAAAAUUAAUGUUUUUUCUUACCAAAAUUAUUUUAAAAGUUACAGAAAUCAUAUAUUAUUAAAUUUUUACAUAAUGUUAUUAACAAAGAAUAUAUUAUAAGCAAGGUGGACUGAAAAUAGUGGCAGGAUCGUAGCAGUCACUUUCAAUUUUUAAUUUUUAUUCCGAAUCGAAUUAUUAACUCGAUUUAUAAUUUUAUAAAAUUAUUUUUUAAAUAAAAUCUUAAAUUCGUCAUUAAUUAUAAAUUUAAUAAAUCUCAUGUAAUUGACUUCAAUUAUUGCUAGCGUGCAUGUGAAUAGUGGAAAUCCGGAUGACCUUGACUUAAAACGCCAGUCUUCAUACCUAAAGCAUGGUUAUCCUACCCAUAAUCCAUAAGACGAGACAAAAGCCGUUUUGGAGUCAUUGUUUUAUCAUAAGGACUAGCUGUGCGUUGUCCGACUUUGAAUUGCCGGGGCCUUUUUUAAUUUGUUUUCGUUGAUGACGUGUUUGAGCUUACGUCAGCCAUAUGACUUCUCUUUCGAGGGCUUCGUCUUACGUCAGCAUUGCAUUGCAUUGCAUGAUGUCCAGGUUGUCAUUGACUGAGGUGUUUUUUCUUUACCGUCCAGGUUGUCAUUUGAUUUAGUUUAGUGGUUGUUUUGAAAAUAUAGUUCAUUUUGCUGCCAAAAGAUGUCCUCAAUUAUGUUUUGCUUUUUGGAAAAAAAAAAAAAUUUACUACCAUAGGCAUAUUUUAUUAGGUUAAAAUGAAGAAGAAUUAAGGUUAAAAUUUUUUAAAAUUAAUAUAUUGAAUUUAAUCAACAAUUUUUUCAGAAUUGAGCUUGGAUGUUUUGAUUUUCAUUGCUUUUGUUUAUGAGUUGAAGCAUUCAGAUUUAGUGAAUCAUGUGUAGGAAGAUCAUUUGAAUGAUUUUCAUUAUUUUUUUAAAAAAAAUUAUCAAUUGUUUUCAACUUACUCAUACUUUAAUUAAAUCUGAAAAAAAAAUUUAAUAUAGUCAAUAUUUAAUAUUCUUGUUUUAUUUCUAUUUAAAUUUAAAAUAUUAAAUAUAAAACUAUAAUAUAUAAAAUAUAAAUAGUUAAAUACAAUAUACAGAAUUUCACAUAAUGAUUAAAUAAUAUAAAUAAUUAAAUAAUAUAAAUAAAAAAAAUAAAAAAAAAACUCUACUUUUUCUUAAUUUCACACAAUAGUGGUGAGUAGUCACUUUUUCUUUUGUUCAAACUUACGAGCUAAUAAAUUUUUUUUGAAGAAAGAAGUAUGUUUCAAUGUUGAGUUCCACAUAAGAGAGUAAAAUAAGAAUAAAAGAGAAUAGGAAAAGAAAAAGAAAGAAAGAGAAAGAGUUAGAGAGAAACAUAAAAAUUAAGAUAAAGUUGAAUAAGGUUUGUAGAAUUAAUUUAUUAUUUAUAUUAAUUAUUAAAUAAAAUAAUUAUUUUAAAAGAAUUAUUUAAAAAAUAUAUAAUAAAAAAAUAAAUUUAAAAAAUAUAUAAUAAAUAAAUAAUUUUAAAAUUUUAAAAAAACCACGCCCCACGCAGAUACAUUACCCUGGCCCCGAUCUGCUAGGCAAUGCAAGCAAUAGUUGAAAGUAUUCUCUAUAUUUUAUUAUUAAUUGACUUUCGGCUACCUGGAAAGCGGCAUAGCAGCCAAAUUAGAAUACCUGAAAGAUUUGAGUGGUAAAUUUUAUAAGGAACAGAAGGUGUGGAUACCAACGUAAUUGGUCUAAAUUCUCUUCAUCUUUUACGAAGGAUCGAAGCAAUAACCUUGGACUUUCAUGAGAAAGAAUAGAAGCCAAGAGCUUCUGUCCGUCCUGAGGCCUCUUUGGGGACUUCACCUAAUCUCAGCAGUGCAGGAUGGCUUUUCUUCUGGAAGCCAAUUUCCAGGCGGUUAGUUUUGAUUCCAUUAAAGGGGUUCUGCUCAUAGUCUGACGAGGCGUCGACUUUCAUUACCGUCCAGGUUCUCAUUGCUUGAAUUAGUUUAAGGAUUUUCUUUUAAUAAUAUAGUUUAUUAUUAUGUUUUGCUUUUUCCAAAAGAAAUGAAACCUAUUGUGAUUUACUACUAUAGUCAUACACGCAAUUUUUAACCUAUUGCAUUAGUCUUUGUUUGAGUUUAACAUGUGUUCUUAUCUUUAUUUGUACAGUUCGUGUUAGUCAUGUUUGGCUCAUUGGAAGUAUCAUAUCAUUCCAACAACAGUCUCACUAAAUAAUUGUUCUAAUAUUUAAUUCAUUCUUUUAUCAAAAAAAAUUAUUCUUCAAAAUUUAUAAUUUUUAAAAAUUUUAAAUAAUUCAGAUAUUAAUUAUUUCACACGAGUUAAAAUUCUUUUUACAAAAUCAUGAUUAAUUAAUGCUUCACAUUUAUGAUUUCUAUCACAAAUAAAACUUAAUUAUAGUAAUGGUAGUAUUAUUUAUGCGUCAUGCAUUAUUAGAGAAACUGAGAACAAUAAAAGUUGACAAGUAAAAAAAACUUGAGAUUGAAUGUGAUUGUCGAACGUGGUGAAAUGGGUUCUUAACCCAGCUAUGGUGCCAUGGAGGAUGAGAAAACUUUACAUCCAAAUCACAAAUUUGCUCAAGUAUGUAAGACAAUGGCGGAUAAACCACACUUUCGCCCAGCUAAUGAUGAUGUUGAUCUACUUGCGAAAGAGGGGUCUAACGGCCUCAACAGUUGCUGUGGGUUAAUCCUGAACCGCCUCCCAAUCAAGGUAUUGGGUCUAGGUAUGUGAUCGGGGAAUUGUAAAUAUCUUUGUUCUUGAUUCUUCCGAGUGAAUUCCUUGAUCUGUUGGGAUUUUUUUUGUUAGUUUACAGCUUGAUUGUUUGGGUAACAACAUUUCUAGUGUGGUUGUACUGAUCCUAGGUCACCGAGGGUUUGCUGUUCGCAAACAAUAUGUAUAGGUGAUUUUGAGAAGCAGAGAUAGGCCUUUUUGUAAUCCUGUUUUGCGUUCUGUAAUCAUCAAUAUUAUUAAUACAAACUACUGUAUGCAUUAAAAAAAACAUCGUCAUAUUAAAUAAUAAUUUUUUUAAAAAAAUAAUUUGAUUCAUAUUUACAUUUUUUUUUCUCGUAACGUAUGUGUCAUGAUCUCAUAAAAAAAUUGUGCAUUUCACGUCAACUAUGUGAUAAAGUGAAACUAGUCUCAACCUAUAUCUUAAAAAUUAGUAUAGACCACGUGAUAUAAUUUAUAAACAAAUGCUGAUUGGUUCUCCUUUAAGAGAGGUUAAUUAAUCAGACCAAUUCUCCACUUACCUGAAAGUCGGCAAGGUUUUUCUUGUUUCAACCUCAGAUUUUAUUAUAUGCUACAACUAGUCUUUAAUUUUGGUCAAAAAGACUUCUCUUGACAUAAAAGUUCUGAACAUUUUCUAAGCAAUUGAUUGUGUAUAGACUACUUUCCAAGCCCUUUACAUGUGCCAACAACAUGACCCCAUCCCAAUUACAAGAUCAACUUUGCUGAACAAUAAGAGGUCCUCGCUCUGUGGAACACGUGUCCGCAAGGUUAAUUAAUCGGACCAAUUUGACUCGAGAAACGCAGCCAUACAAAUGCUGUGGGCUGUAAGCAGAUGAAGCAAAUGCCUUUGUAUUCUGCACGGUUCUUGUUAUAUAACAUAGGAUUAGAAAUUCGAAAAUAUUAAAGAAAGGUUUAAAGCUUUAUUUGUCUUACUGUUAAUAUGCAAAGGUUCUUGUUAAUAACAUAGGAUUAGAAAAUCAAAAGUUUAAAAAAAAGUUUAAAGUUUUAUUAUCUUACUGUAAAUAAGUAAAAAAUUUACGAGUGAUAAAUCUCAAAAUUAUCUGUAUUUUAUAUUAAUAAUUAAUUCAGUAACACUUAUUAGUAAAUGAUAAGAUUACCUUAUUACAAUUCUAAUGUAUCCGUGACUACUAAGUUUGAAAGAGAUUCACGUUUCCACCAAGAAAAACAUCGAAGAAUAGUUGUUUUAAUAUUUAAUUAAUUUUAUUUUUUGAAGUUUGUACUUUUUAAAAUUUUUAAAUAAUUAAGAUAUUAACUAGGAGUAAAAAUUCCUUCUAAGGAGUAGUGAUUUAUUGAUGCUUCACAUUUACAAUCUACUUCUUUGUUUUUUGAAAAGCUGAAUAUUCAUUCACGGCAAAGGAUUUACAUGGAAGUCGCAGGCUAACAAGAACAGACCUGCCAACAAACAGCAAGAAAAACCCGCUGUUUAGGUCCAGCACAUACUGGGCAGAGGACCAGCCUAUACAAAAAAAUGACUCAACGCCUGCUUUAAUCAGGCUUCGACAAAAAAAUAAGGCAUCUACUUCUUUCCACAAAAAAACGAUGCAAGCUAAAACAAUUAAACCCCAGAACAGUUAAUCCACAGCAGAUUCUGGGCUCUUUGAACCCCACCCUUAGCCAAUGUGUCUGCAUCUCCAUUGGCCGAACGUAGGAUAUGCCCAAUUUGCCAUUCAUCAAUCCUCGUCAACAUGUUAUGAAUAAAAAUAAUUUCUUUCCGCAAUCUCCAAGGGACUUCUGACGGAUUCCUUACCCAUUUAACCACGUUUGAAGAGUCACAUUCUAUCAUUAAUUUCACGGAGGACCUCCAGGUAGAAGCUGCAAAGAUAAUCGCUGCCUCCUUCACUGCCAACAACUCUUCUAAGUUAGAAUCUAUCAUCCCCAUGGAUUUGGAGAAAAGAGCCAUAACGUCUCCAUUCCAAUCUUUAAGGAUGCUGCCAAUUCCAGCAUGACCUGGGUUACCAUGGGAAGCACCAUCAGUGUUAAAUUUGUAGCUGCCCUCCCCUGGUUUCUGCCAACUCUGUAUUUCCCUUUAGUGACUGACUCUCCUCGGAUUAGUAGCAUUGCAGGGGUCUUUAAUCAGAUCAUCAACACCCAAAUUAACCUCAGGCCAUUUGGCAUGCAUCCACCAAGUAAUGCGCACUUUAGCAAGCUCAAACACUUGGCUGCGGUCCCAACUCUUACCCUUGAACACCAUGUCGCUUCUUGUAAUCCAAAUAGACAAUGUAAUAGCAUAAAAAGCCAUCCUCCAAGCCAACCCAUUUUCAAAACAGCUAGCAGCGUUAUUCCACAUUUGGAACCAAAUUUCAAGUUUAGAGUGACUCACCCAUUCAGUUUUCCAUAAAGCACACCACUUCUGCCAUACCCUCCAAGUUUCACUGCAAUUAAAAAACAGGUGCCCUACAGACUCAAUUUCUGAUCUGCAAAUAAGCAGAUAGCAGCCUCACUCUUGAGAAUACCUCUGCUCACUAAUAACUCCUUAACAGCCAACCUCCCCUGAAGUAACUGCCAGCAGAAAACCUCUACUUUAUGGGGUGCUAACCCAGCCUGUAUCUGCUUUCAAUAACCUGCGUAAUAUCUGUUAGAGCAGAGAACACUCCUACAAAGCCCUGGCCUCAACGAAAUCAAGCUGACCAGCCUUAACUGCAAGACGUAAAGGUGUCCAUGUGGAACACGACAGGGCAACAUCAGUGAGAAUCAAUGGCUUUUUCGCAAGUAAAUCGUUUGGCACCUUAAUAUUUCCUUUCCGAUAGCAGCUUCAAAUAAUCUCUCGUCAUCCAUUUGAGAAUUUGUGAAUAAAAUUGCAGAACCUUAACUUGUGGUGUCAGAAAUUAUUCAAAGCAUUUGUCAGGAAACCUGAGGCUGCUUCUUAGAAAUACUACAACCCGCUUCUUAGAGACCACGAAAGACGAGGAGUAGGUCUACUGUCUGCAAAUAUUAUACAAAUUUUAUGUUACAAUCUCCUUUCCUUUGAGACUCUUUUAAACUAUGGUAAAUUAGGGAUCCAAUUAAUCUUGAGUAUUUGGUAUAGUCAUCAAAGAAAAUUAGAGCUCAUCAAGUCAGAUGACACUUUCUUGCUAAAGCAAGUUUCUUUGGUUCAAAGCACAUUCUGCUCACAUAAUUUUUUGUUGCUAAAACAAAGUCCAUUAUAUUAAUUAAAUGACUGUACGAAAAAUCAUAAUACAAAUAAUUGAAAUUGUACAAAAAAAAGUUGAAACGCUCGUAGGAUUCGGUUCCUUCUGUGCAUAUCAUCCUCUGAAUGUCAGCAUUUAAAAAAAAAUGGAUUUUAUUGAAUCAAAAGCUAGAAUGCCAUGGUAAGUCUAGUACCCAAAACUGGUGGAAGACUACUCUUGGUAUAGGAAACUAGCUUUGGGAAGGGUUUUACCCCUAAAUACAGUUUACAAAAGCAGCUGCGACAUAGCCAUCGGCAGCAAGUUAAAACAAGAGAGCCCACACAAUAGCCAUGGGCAAACAAAGUUCUAAUUACAAGAAACAACCUGACAAAUGACAUCUAGUCAUCCAAAAAAAGUCCUAAAAGUUAACCAGCUCCAGGAUAAGCACAUGAGAAAAUCCGACCUUAACCUUUAAGCAGCACGUAGCGGCAAACCGAAGCUCUACCUCUCCCGAUCCUUAUCCAAAAGCAGAGAGGAACACCCUGGAUCACCAAGAAGGGACUGCGACCAGAAAUUCCCUGUCUUCCAUCAAGAAACACUCCAAGCAAAAAGCCAUUGAUAGUGCCUUCUCUGGUUAGCCUUGAUUUUCUGCUUCCUUUUUUUUCUUUAUAAAUUUCCUGUUUUUCCCUCUUCCCCCACUUAAUUUUCUUCUAUCUCAGCAUAAUCCUUCCAAUCUAGCUCACAUUGAAAGUUUGUGAACCAUCCCAUAUUUUCUUACAAUAUGUCACGGUUCAAUUAAUCAAGGGAUGCAUUAAUCAGUAAUUAUGAAUAAUUAAUUGAUGACAUAAUGAAUGUGAUGAUUCGUUCGUUUUGCUUUCAUGCUAUGUCCAUUCUUUGUCCUUUACAGUUUUUUCUUGUGUAAUACUGAUACCUGGUCCUGCAGAUAAGGCCAGAAACUGAAAAGAAUAGGAAUUCUAGUCUUUGUUGUCAGGUGGUGAAAUUCUACUUGAUCUAAAAAUAUUUAGCCCCACUGACCUUAUCCCUUCUGCUAAGUUCUCUAUAUUGUUCUACAGAAAUUAACUGCUUGCAGCAGCUAUUGAUGCCAGCAUUGGCCUUACUCACCAACAAGUCCACGCAUGACCAGUCAAUUUAUCAAAAUAGGCUGAUUUCUCAGAUCUUCAAGAUCUCUCUUCUUUCUUUGUUUCGUUUUAAAUUAACAGGACAGAUAAAAUUCUUGUAAUAGGGAAGAGCCACGGAAACAAUUAAAUGAAUGGAUAUGCAGUUGAUAAAUAAACCAAAUAAACUUCUUUUUUUUUUAUGAUCGUGACUGAGAGAAGAAAAUGGAAGGAGAUUGGACAAAAUGUGUUCGUCCAAGGUACAUUAAUAGCUGGUAAGAAGGUGGCGAGAAAAGCGUACAAAGGGAUGCUGCAAACUGUCAGUAGGGUGGAAGAACCUGAUGCGGGUGAUCCUAUUUUAUAGAAGGUGCAAAUGAGAGUGAGAAGGUGGGCUGGAUUGAAAAUGAAAAUAGAUGAGAGAAUAUGGGGCCAGGUAAGGAAUUAGGGCUCGAAGAAGGUGAUGCAAGGUCAAGUAAGGGGAAGCCCGUGAGCAAUGAGGAGGAGGGAGAAGGGCUUGGUGAUAGAUGAGCCCGAGGAGGAGAAUGGAGUCGGGCUCAGAAUUGCUCCGUAUGUGAUCGCUGCUAUCAGGACUUUGUAAUCUUUAAUACACACUUUUUAUUUGUUGGAAAUAGGCAAAGCACACAUUUUAUUUAUUUAUUUGGUACAUAACAAAUCACACACUUUAUUUACAAAUUAUACAAACUUAAUGAAACUCCAAAGUACUAGUAUUAAUUUUGGACACAUACCCUAUGUCACAUCCUAUAACAUAUAUAAACAGCAUGAGUUCUAAGUUGUUCAGGCUCCAACUACUAGGAAUUUGCCAGUGUCUGCCUACGUUCAUUGUCUUCCUCCCUCCACCUAAGGUUGUGCUUGCAGGGUCUGAUCUUUCGGGGGCUCUGCUGCCUUGUUUCUAGGCCUGGAAAAUGCCUGGAUCAAACAUGGAGGCUCAGGUUCCCUGUUUUUCAACUUAACCAACAGCUGGAUCAAACACCGCAUAGCUAAAGGCGCUGCUGCUAUAAUCAAGGCGAGUCGAAACGUUUCUUCAUCCGACGUAACAGCAAAGAUCGCAGAUCCAUAAGUUAUUAUCAU